CGGUAUUUUGACCGUGCGAAGGUAGCGCAAUCACUUGUCUUUUAAAUGAAGACCCGUAUGAAUGGCAUAACGAGGGCUUAACUGUCUCCUCUCUCAGGUCAAUGAAAUUGAUCUCCCCGUGCAGAAGCGGGGAUAAAAACAUAAGACGAGAAGACCCUAUGGAGCUUUAGACACCAAAGCAGCCCACGUUAAGCACCCUCCACAAAGGACUAAACCAAGUGGGCCCUGCCCUAAUGUCUUUGGUUGGGGCGACCGCGGGGAAUUACAAAACCCCCACGUGGAAUGGGAAUACUUUUCCUACAACCAAGAGCUACAGCUCUAGAAAACAGAACUUCUGACCAACAAGAUCCGGCAAUGCCGAUCAACGGACCGAGUUACCCUAGGGAUAACAGCGCAAUCCUCUUUUAGAGCCCAUAUCGACAAGGGGGUUUACGACCUCGAUGUUGGAUCAGGACAUCCUAAU
rnacentral:rRNA from 1 species